UACGUAGGGGGCAAGCGUUGUCCGGAAUCAUUGGGCGUAAAGAGCGCGUAGGCGGUCCGGUAAGUCCGCUCUGAAAGCCCGGGGCUCAACCCCGGGAGGCGGGCGGAUACUGUCGGGCUAGAGUCCGGAAGAGGCGAGUGGAAUUCCUGGUGUAGCGGUGAAAUGCGCAGAUAUCAGGAGGAACACCGAUGGCGAAGGCAGCUCGCUGGGACGGUACUGACGCUGAGGUGCGAAAGCGUGGGGAGCAAACAGG
rnacentral:rRNA from 1 species